AUCACUUUUGGCUAACAUCAGGUGUACUGUUUGUUCUUAUCAGUUGAAUCACUAUUAAGUCCUCUAGUCAAGGACAAUAUAUUAAAUGGAUUUUUGGAAGGAGAUGGAAUAACAUCUUGUUCUGUUCAUGCCACACAUCAGCAUGGUAUCACAGUACUUCCUAGAAUGGUGCACUCUCC
rnacentral:snRNA from 1 species